rnacentral:tRNA from 1 species
GUCAGGAUGGCCGAGCGGUCUAAGGCGCCAGACUCAAGGUUUACGCCUUUCCUGUACGACAGGAGGUUUGAGAGUUCUGGUCCACGAGUGUGGGCGUGGGUUCGAAUCCCACUUCUGACA